GUUAACGCUGGCGGCGUGCCUAACACAUGCAAGUCGAACGGUUCUAAGCGCGAACUUAGGAUAGUGGCGAACGGGUGAGUAAAAGGUAGGAAUCUACCCCUUGGACGGAGAUAGCUACUGGAAACGGUAGGUAAACUUCGAUAAGCCCGAGAGGGGAAAGUGGUGAGACAGCCGAGGGAUGAGCCUACUCUCCAUCAGGUAGUUGGUGAGAUAAAAGCUUACCAAGCCGAUGACGGAUAACCGGUGUGAGAGCAUGAACGGUCACAAGGGCACUGAGAGACGGGCCCUACUCCUACGGGAGGCAGCAGUGGGGAAUCUUGGACAAUGGGCGAAAGCCUGAUCCAGCGACGCCGCGUGGAGGAAGAAGUCCUUCGGGAUGUAAACUUCUGAACUAGCCGAAUAAAAGGCCUGUGGACACACAGGAGAAGAAAGUAGGCUAGGAAAAGUCCCGGCUAACUACGUG
rnacentral:rRNA from 1 species